GGAUUGAUGGGAGCUUGCUCCCUGAUAUCAGCGGCGGACGGGUGAGUAACACGUGGGUAACCUGCCUGUAAGACUGGGAUAACUCCGGGAAACCGGGGCUAAUACCGGAUAACUCAUUUCCUCGCAUGAGGAAAUGUUGAAAGAUGGCUUCUUGCUAUCACUUACAGAUGGACCCGCGGCGCAUUAGCUAGUUGGUGAGGUAACGGCUCACCAAGGCAACGAUGCGUAGCCGACCUGAGAGGGUGAUCGGCCACACUGGGACUGAGACACGGCCCAGACUCCUACGGGAGGCAGCAGUAGGGAAUCUUCCGCAAUGGACGAAAGUCUGACGGAGCAACGCCGCGUGAGUGAUGAAGGUUUUCGGAUCGUAAAGCUCUGUUGUUAGGGAAGAACAAGUACCGUUCGAAUAGGGCGGUACCUUGACGGUACCUAACCAGAAAGCCACGGCUAACUACGUGCCAGCAGCCGCGGUAAUACGUAGGUGGCAAGCGUUGUCCGGAAUUAUUGGGCGUAAAGCGCGCGCAGGUGGUUUCUUAAGUCUGAUGUG
rnacentral:rRNA from 1 species